rnacentral:rRNA from 1 species
GACGAACGCUGGCGGCGUGCUUAACACAUGCAAGUCGAGCGGUAAGGCCCUUUCGGGGGUACACGAGCGGCGAACGGGUGAGUAACACGUGGGUGACCUGCCUUUAGCUCUGGGAUAAGCCUGGGAAACCGGGUCUAAUACCGGAUAUGACUCCGCGGCGCAUGUUGUGGGGUGGAAAGCCUUGUGCGGCUGGAGAUGGGCCCGCGGCCUAUCAGCUUGUUGGUGGGGUGAUGGCCUACCGAAGGCGACGACGGGUAGCCGGCCUGAGAGGGCGACCGGCCACACUGGGACUGAGACACGGCCCAGACUCCUACGGGAGGCAGCAGUGGGGAAUCUUGCGCAAUGGGCGAAAGCCUGACGCAGCGACGCCGCGUGAGGGAUGACGGCC